rnacentral:rRNA from 1 species
GACGAACGCUGGCGGCGUGCUUAACACAUGCAAGUCGAACGGAAAGGCCCUGCUCUUGUGGGGUGCUCGAGUGGCGAACGGGUGAGUAACACGUGUGUAACCUGCCCUUGACUGUGGGAUAAAUCCAGGAAACUGGGGCUAAUACCGCAUAGGAGCUCCUGCUGCAUGGUGGUGGUUGGAAAGAGUCGGCGGUUGGGGAUGGACUCGAGGGUUAUCAGCUUGUUGGUGUGGUAGUGGCUUACCAAGGCUUUGACGGGUAGCCGGCCUGAGAGGGUGACCGGCGACAUGGGGCCUGAGAUACGCACCAGACUCGUACGGGAGGCAGCAGUGGGGAGUAUUACACAAUGGGCCGGAGCCUGAUACGGCAGCGUCGCGUGCGUAAUGACGGCUUUCGGGGUAUGAACCACUUUCGACGGUGACGAAGCGUGAGUGACGGUAAUGGGUAAGGAAGCACCGGCUAACUACGUG